rnacentral:rRNA from 1 species
UCAAGCGACUAAGUGUAUGUGGUGGAUGCCUUGGCGAUUACAGGCGAUGAAGGACGUCGCAGCCUGCGAAAAGCCGUGGGGAGCUGGCAAGCGAGCACUGAUCCACGGAUGUCCGAAUGAGGGAACUCACCCGCAAGGGUAUCUUGAAGUGAAUACAUAGCUUCAAGAGGCGAACGCAGCGAACUGAAACAUCUAAGUAGCUGCAGGAAAAGAAAUCAACCGAGAUUCUGAAAGUAGCGGCGAGCGAAAUUGGAAGAGCCUGCAAGUGAUAUUGAAUUCGAUACUGGAACGGUCUGGAAAGUCCGGCUACAGAGGGUGAUAGCCCCGUACGGGAAAUUGGGUUCAAGGUACUGAGCUUGCGAGAAGUAGAGCGGGACACGUGAAAUCCUGCUCGAAGAUGGGGGGACCAUCCUCCAAGGCUAAAUACUCGUAAUCGACCGAUAGCGAACCAGUACUGUGAAGGAAAGGCGAAAAGAACCCCGGGAGGGGAGUGAAAUAGAUCCUGAAACCGCAUACAUACAAACAGUAGGAGCCCGCAAGGGUGACUGCGUACCUUUUGCAUAAUGGGUCAGCGACUUACGUUCAAUGGCAAGCUUAACCGAGUAGGGGAGGCGCAGCGAAAGCGAGUCCGAACAGGGCGAUAUGAGUCGUUGGGCGUAGACCCGAAACCAGAUGAUCUAUCCAUGGCCAGGCUGAAGGUGUGGUAACACACACUGGAGGGCCGAACCGACUAGUGUUGCAAAAUUAGCGGAUGAGCUGUGGAUAGGGGUGAAAGGCUAAACAAAUCUGGAGAUAGCUGGUUCUCCCCGAAAACUAUUGAGGUAGUGCCUCGUGUAUGGCUCCAGGGGGUAGAGCACUGUUAUGGCUAGGGGGACAUGGCGUCUUACCAAACCAUGGCAAACUCCGAAUACUUGGAAGUCUGAGCACGGGAGACAGAGCACCGGGUGCUAACGUCCGGACUCAAAAGGGAAACAACCCAGACCGCCGGCUAAGGUCCCUAAUAUUGACUAAGUGGAAAACGAAGUGGGAAGGCUAAGACAGUCAGGAAGUUGGCUUAGAAGCAGCCAUCCUUCAAAGAAAGCGUAAUAGCUCACUGAUCGAGUCUUCCUGCGCGGAAGAUGUAACGGGGCUAAGUCAAUAACCGAAGCCGCGGAUUCGCAGCAAUGCGAGUGGUAGGGGAGCGUUCUGUAAGCCUGCGAAGGCGGAUCUGCGAGGACCGCUGGAGGUAUCAGAAGUGCGAAUGCUGACAUGAGUAACGUUAAAGCGGGUGAAAAGCCCGCUCGCCGCAAGCCCAAGGUUUCCUGCUCUACGUUCAUCGGAGCAGGGUGAGUCGGCCCCUAAGGUCAGGCUGAGAAGCGUAGCUGAUGGGAAGCUGGUUAAUAUUCCAGCACCGAUUUCAAGUGCGAAGGGGGGACGGAGUCCUGAAGGUCAUCCGGGUGUUGGACAUCCCGGUUUACGAGCGUAGGAGGUUGACAGGCAAAUCCGUCAACGAAUCUCCAAGGCGAAGGAUCGAGGUUGAGAGAUCAACUGAAGUGACUGAAUGGGCUUCCAGGAAAAGCCUCUAAGCAUCAGCUUGGAAUUGACCGUACCGCAAACCGACACUGGUGGGCGAGCUGAAUAUGCUCAGGCGCUUGAGAGAACUCAGGAGAAGGAACUCGGCAAAUUGACACCGUAACUUCGGGAUAAGGUGUGCCUUUGUAGUGUGAAGAGAGAAACACUCCGAGCAUGAAGAGGCCUCAGAGAAUCGGUGGCUGCAACUGUUUACUAAAAACACAGCACUCUGCAAAGAUGAAAGUCGACGUAUAGGGUGUGAUGCCUGCCCGGUGCUGGAAGAUUAAUUGAUGGGGUGCAAGCUCCUGAUCGAAGUCCCAGUAAACGGCGGCCGUAACUAUAACGGUCCUAAGGUAGCGAAAUUCCUUGUC